CCAGAAUUUUGGGGAAAGAAGAGUUUAGAAGUUAGUGGGAGAAAGAAGAAUCAUGUUCAUCUUUUCCAUUUUCGUAUUCCAUGGCAGCCUCCACUAAAUCAGCUUAUGUUUUGAAGGAGAAAAUUGAGCUUGAAGUUGGGACAUGCAUGCUGAUUGUGUGUUAAAGAGUGGAUACGGGUUUGAUGAAUUUGGAGUUGGAGUUUUGGUCAAGUGAGGAGCUCAAUUGCAGCAUGUUCAUCAUCCAAAGCUCCAUUGAUGCAAGGUGCAGUUUAGUAGCGUUUGGUCAGAAGCAGGUUCGGACUAAAGACUUGGAAGUGGUGUUGGCUCGAAGACCUCGUUGGUUUUGACAUUCCGCUGUGCAAGAUCCAUUGAAGACUCAUGUAUUAUGCUUCUUAGUAGAAUUUCAUGUUGUAUUUUAUAUGGAUCUUUCUAUAACUAUAGCUUUUGUAUGUACUCAAUAUCAAUUUUAACGUUUCAUGCAUAAUAUACUAGUCAGUUAUGUAUGGGGUG